rnacentral:rRNA from 1 species
AUGUCAUCGUCGAUGCCGCGGCCACCGCGCUCCUCGCGCCUCAAGAAGAUGCCCAGAAGAACCGCCACGGUCCACUUCGUCCUUCCCGAGCACAAAACCGAGUCGGGGCAGCUCGUACGCCCGCCAACGCCACCAUCUUCACCACGUACAUCUACGUCGUCCGUCGUCGUUUGCCGCCGCUCCGGUCCAGCCCCGGCCUCCCCGACCUUGCCUUUGUGUUCAUUGUGA